rnacentral:rRNA from 1 species
UCGGGAAUUUUGGGCAAUGGGCGAAAGCCUGACCCAGCAACGCCGCGUGAAGGAUGAAGUAUUUCGGUAUGUAAACUUCGAAAGAAUAGGAAGAAUAAAUGACGGUACUAUUUAUAAGGUCCGGCUAACUACGUGCCAGCAGCCGCGGUAAUACGUAGGGACCAAGCGUUGUUCGGAUUUACUGGGCGUAAAGGGCGCGUAGGCGGCAAUUCAAGUCAUCUGUGAAAUCUCCGGGCUUAACUCGGAACGGUCAGAUGAUACUGCUUUGCUAGAGUGCAGAAGGGGCAAUCGGAAUUCUUGGUGUAGCGGUGAAAUGCGUAGAUAUCAAGAGGAACACCUGAGGUGAAGACGGGUUGCUGGGCUGACACUGACGCUGAGGCGCGAAAGCUAGGGUAGCAAACGGGAUUAGAUACCCCAGUAGUCCCUGAGCGGGCUGGCAAGGCGCAU